GAUGAACGCUGGCGGCGUGCCUAACACAUGCAAGUCGAGCGGAUUUAUUUGAAAGCUUGCUUUCAAAUAAAUUAGCGGCGGACGGGUGAGUAACGCGUGGGUAAUCUACCUUAUACAGGGGGAUAACGAUGAGAAAUUAUCGCUAAAACCGCAUAAGCUUACACCGUGGCAUCACGGAGUAAGAAAAAAUUUAUUGGUAUAAGAUGAGCCUGCGUCUGAUUAGCUAGUUGGUGGGGUAAAGGCCUACCAAGGCGACGAUCAGUAGCCGACCUGAGAGGGUGAUCGGCCACAUUGGGACUGAGACACGGCCCAAACUCCUACGGGAGGCAGCAGUGGGGAAUAUUGCACAAUGGACGAAAGUCUGAUGCAGCAACGCCGCGUGAGGGAAGAAGGUCUUUGGAUUGUAAACCUCUAUCGACAGGGACGAAUAAAUGACGGUACCUGAGUAAGAAGCACCGGCUAACUACGUGCCAGCCGCCGCAGUAAAAC
rnacentral:rRNA from 1 species